rnacentral:rRNA from 1 species
GACGAACGCUGGCGGCGUGCCUAAUACAUGCAAGUAGAACGCACAGUUUAUACCGUAGCUUGCUACACCAUAGACUGUGAGUUGCGAACGGGUGAGUAACGCGUAGGUAACCUGCCUGGUAGCGGGGGAUAACUAUUGGAAACGAUAGCUAAUACCGCAUAAUAUUAAUUAUUGCAUGAUAAUUAAUUGAAAGGUGCAAUUGCACCACUACCAGAUGGACCUGCGUUGUAUUAGCUAGUAGGUGAGGUAACGGCUCACCUAGGCGACGAUACAUAGCCGACCGGAGAGGGUGAUCGGCCACACUGGGACUGAGACACGGCCCAGACUCCUACGGGAGGCAGCAGUAGGGAAUCUUCGGCAAUGGACGAAAGUCUGACCGAGCAACGCCGCGUGAGUGAAGAAGGUUUUCGGAUCGUAAAGCUCGGUUGUAAGAGAAGAACGGGUGUGAGAGUGGAAAGUUCACACUGUGACGGUAUCUUACCAGAAAGGGACGGCUAACUACGUG